AUACGUAGGGGGCGAGCGUUGUCCGGAAUGAUUGGGCGUAAAGGGCGCGUAGGCGGCCCGGUAAGUCUGGAGUGAAAGUCCUGUUUUUAAGAUGGGAAUUGCUUUGGAUACUGUCGGGCUUGAGUGCAGGAGAGGUAAGUGGAAUUCCCAGUGUAGCGGUGAAAUGCGUAGAGAUUGGGAGGAACACCAGUGGCGAAGGCGACUUACUGGACUGUAACAGACGCUGAGGCGCGAAAGUGUGGGGAGCAAACAGGAUUAGAUACCCUGGUAGUCCACACUGUAAACGAUGAAUGCUAGGUGUAGGGGGUAUCGACCCCUUCUGUGCCGCAGUCAACACAAUAAGCAUUCCGCCUGGGGAGUACGGCCGCAAGGUUGAAACUCAAAUGAAUUGACGGGG
rnacentral:rRNA from 1 species